rnacentral:rRNA from 1 species
AUGAUCGCGCUCUCCGAUCCCUAUCUUGGCGAGCACCACAUCACCGCCUUGGCCUCCUCUCUUGAUGGCGAGCAUCACUGGUGGCUUACCGACAUCUAUGGCCUGCAAGGAGACGAUGACAAGAUUGCCUUCCUCGGUGACCUUAGCGAGGUCCGAUCGUUGCGCAUCGGCCCUUGGAUCCUUGGGGGUGAUUUCAACAUGAUCGCCAAGGCGGCGGACAAGAACAACUCCCGGAUCAACCGUGUCAUGUCUCGCUUCCGCCGCUUCCUCGCCGACGAGGAGCUGCGCGGUAUCUACCUACACGGGAGGCGGUACACUUGGUCGAGUGAGCGCGGCACUCCGACCCUCACGCGCAUCGACAAGGCCCUCUGCAACUCAGCAUGGGAGGCGCUUCACCCGCACUGCAUGCUUCGCUGCCUCUCCUCCGCGGCUUCCGAUCACGCGCCCCUUCUCCUUGACUGCACCGCGCACUCGCGUGGCACCAAAGGAUUCCAUUUUGAGAUAUUCUGGUCGCGCACCGAUGGCUACAUGCAAGUCGUGCUCGAGGCGUGGGCUACCGGGAUCGACGAGCCGGACCCUUUCCGCCGUUUAGUGGCGCGGCUUAAGACCACCACCCGGCGCCUCCAAAGCUGGAGCGCGAAGAAGAUUGGCGACGUGUCUCAGCAGCUCUUGAUUGCUCGCGAGCUGAUUGCGCGCCUUUAUGCGGCUCAGGAUCUGCGACCACUCUCUCCGGCCGAGGCUUGGUUGCGUCGACGCCUCAAAGAGGCCUAUCUUGGCCUCGCUUCGCUCGAGCGCUCGAUCUCGCGCCAGCGUGUCAGACUCUCCUGGCUGCGGGACGGUGACGCGGGCCAGAAGUUCUUCCGCAUGCAUACCGCACACCGCAAGUAG